UACGUAGGGUGCAAGCGUUGUUCGGAAUUACUGGGCGUAAAGCGCGCGUAGGCGGGUUGGAAAGUCGAUUGUGAAAGCCCUAGGCUUAACCUGGGAAUUGCAGUCGAAACUCCCAAUCCUGAGUGCCUGAGAGGAUGGCGGAAUUCCCGGUGUAGUAGUGAAAUACGUAGAUAUCGGGAAGAACACCUGAGGCGAAGGCGGCUAUCUGGCGGUGCACUGACGCUGAGGCGCGAAAGCGUGGGGAGCAAACAGG
rnacentral:rRNA from 1 species